rnacentral:rRNA from 1 species
AAAAAAUAGACGGUAUCUGAGGAAUAAGCAUCGGCUAACUCUGUGCCAAGCAGCCGCGGUAAGACAGAGGAUGCAAGCCGUUAUCCGGAAUGAUUGGGCGUAAAGCGUCUGUAGGGUGGCUUUUCAAGUCCGCCGUCAAAUCCCAGGGCUCAACCCUGGACAGGCGGUGGAAACUACCAAGCUGGGGUACGGUAGGGGCAGAGGGAAUUUCCGGUGGAGCGGUGAAAUUGCGUUGAGAUCGGAAAGAACACCA